UACGACUACAUAUCAGGCAUAUCAAUAAGCGGAGGAAAAGAAACUAACUAGGAUUCCCUUAGUAACGGCGAGUGAAGCGGGAAGAGCUCAAAUUUGAAAUCUUCAAGGUUCUACCUUGACGAAUUGUAGUUUAAAGAAGUGUUUUCUGUUGGAGUUUUGGUAAAAGUUCUUUGGAAUAGGACAUCAUAGAGGGUGAGAAUCCCGUAUUUGACCAUUUCUUCCAGCUGUGUGAUACACUUUCAAAGAGUCGGAUUGUUUGGGAAUGCAGUCCAAAAUGGGUGGUAAAUUUCAUCUAAAGCUAAAUAUUGGCGAGAGACCGAUAGCGAACAAGUACCGUGAGGGAAAGAUGAAAAGAACUUUGAAAAGAGAGUUAAACAGUACGUGAAAUUGUCAAAAGGGAAGCGUUUGACACCAGUGUUGUUUUCUCGAAAAUCAAUUAAAAAGUAGUUGGAUUUUGUAUUGUUAAGACCUUAUCAGCUUACUGUACUUUUUUCCUUGCUCUUUUUAAUGCACUUUUCGUUUAACAAGUCAACAUCAAUUUCUUUUGUUGUAAAAGAGGUCAUUGGAAGGUGGCUUUCACUUCGGUGAAAGUGUCUAUAGCCUUUGACUUCUACAAUCGGAGAGAUUGAGGUCUGCAGCGUAGAUCCUUCGGGGUUAGAUACAUUAGAUGCUAAGUUAUAGUUUUUUAUAGACAACAUUGUUGACUAUGAUUAAUCAUGUAGCUUACUCGCUUACUGCUAUUUUACCUACGCUUAGGAUGUUGAUCUCUCACAGUCGAGC
rnacentral:rRNA from 1 species